rnacentral:rRNA from 1 species
ACGAGGAGCUUGCUCCUCUGACGUUAGCGGCGGACGGGUGAGUAACACGUGGAUAACCUACCUAUAAGACUGGGAUAACUUCGGGAAACCGGAGCUAAUACCGGAUAAUAUAUUGAACCGCAUGGUUCANUAGUGAAAGACGGUUUUGCUGUCACUUAUAGAUGGAUCCGCGCCGCAUUAGCUAGUUGGUAAGGUAACGGCUUACCAAGGCAACGAUGCGUAGCCGACCUGAGAGGGUGAUCGGCCACACUGGAACUGAGACACGGUCCAGACUCCUAC